UACGAAGGGUGCAAGCGUUACUCGGAAUUACUGGGCGUAAAGCGUGCGCAGGCGGCGCGUUAAGACAGGUGUGAAAGCCCCGAGCUUAACUUGGGAAUUGCGCUUGUGACUGGCGUGCUGGAGUGUGGCAGAGGGAGGUGGAAUUCCACGUGUAGCAGUGAAAUGCGUAGAGAUGUGGAGGAACACCGAUGGCGAAGGCAGCCUCCUGGGCCAACACUGACGCUCAUGCACGAAAGCGUGGGGAGCAAACAGG
rnacentral:rRNA from 1 species